ensembl:lncRNA
CUCUAAUGACUGCGUAAUAAAAACCACAUGGCUGAACAGUCACACACGGAGCACCGCUGCUUUACUGUGGCUCACUGAGGUACUGAGCUACUGAGGUACUGAGCUACUGAUGUACUGAGCUACUGAGGCACUAAGUUACCAGGAUACUGAUUUACUUUCACUCUGAGCUACUGAGGCACUAAAAUACUGAUGUGCUGAGGUACUGAGCUACUGAGCUACUGAAAUACUGAGCUACUGAGGCACUAAAAUACUGAUGUGCUGAGCUACUGAGAUACUGAAAUACUGAGCUACUGAGGCACUAAGUUACCGGGAUACUGAUUUACUUUCGCACUGAG